GCGCCCUGCAGCUGUCCGCCAGGCUCCUGGGCUUGUUUUGGUAAUGCCUUUCGUCCGCGAAUGGUCUACCCUAACGGCCUGAGUACAUGGCCCGGCGGGUUUGUACCGGGUCAUUUA
rnacentral:ncRNA from 1 species